GUGCCAGCCGCCGCGGUAAUACGGAGGGUGCAAGCGUUAUCCGGAUUUACUGGGUUUAAAGGGAGCGCAGGCGGAUUAGUAAGUCAGUGGUGAAAGCCUUGAGCUUAACUCGAGAACUGCCAUUGAUACUAUUAGUCUUGAAUGUUGUUGAGGUUUGCGGAAUGGGUCAUGUAGCGGUGAAAUGCAUAGAUAUGACCCGGAACACCUAUUGCGAAGGCAGCAGGCUAAACAAAUAUUGACGCUGAGGCUCGAAAGCGUGGGGAUCAAACAGGAUUAGAAACCCCAGUAGUCC
rnacentral:rRNA from 1 species